GAUGAACGCUAGCGGCAGGCUUAACACAUGCAAGUCGAGGGGUAGAGGUUGCUUGCAACCUUGAGACCGGCGCACGGGUGCGUAACGCGUAUGCAACCUACCUUUUACAGAGGGAUAGCCCAGAGAAAUUUGGAUUAAUACCUCAUAGUAUAUAACCUUCGCAUGUUGGUUAUAUUAAAGUUCCAACGGUAAGAGAUGGGCAUGCGUCCUAUUAGCUAGAUGGUAAGGUAACGGCUUACCAUGGCUACGAUAGGUAGGGGUCCUGAGAGGGAGAUCCCCCACACUGGUACUGAGACACGGACCAGACUCCUACGGGAGGCAGCAGUGAGGAAUAUUGGACAAUGGGCGCAAGCCUGAUCCAGCCAUGCCGCGUGCAGGAAGACGGUCCUAUGGAUUGUAAACUGCUUUUGUACGGGAAGAACCACUCCUACGUGUAGGAGCUUGACGGUACCGUAAGAAUAAGGAUCGGCUAACUCCGUGCCAGCAGCCGCCGUAAGAC
rnacentral:rRNA from 1 species